CGCGCAGGCGGCCCGGCAAGUGAGACGUGAAAGGCUCUGGCUCAACCAGGGAAAUGCGUCUCAUACUGCCGGGCUUGAGGACGGGAGAGGAGACGAGAAUUCUCGGUGUAGCGGUGAAAUGCACUGAUAUCGGGAAGAACACCAGUGGCGAAGGCGCGUCUCUGGCCCGUUCCUGACGCUCAGGCGCGAAAGCUGGGGGAGCAAACA
rnacentral:rRNA from 1 species